rnacentral:rRNA from 1 species
GACGAACCGUGCGAACGUUGUUCGGAAUCACUGGGCUUAAAGGGCGCGUAGGCGGCCCGCCAAGUCCGGGGUGAAAGCCCCCAGCUCAACUGGGGAAGGGCCUCGGAUACUGGCGGGCUCGAGGGGGAUAGGGGCGGACGGAACUUCCGGUGGAGCGGUGAAAUGCGUUGAUAUCGGAAGGAACGCCGGUGGCGAAAGCGGUCCGCUGGGUCCCUACUGACGCUGAGGCGCGAAAGCCAGGGGAGCAAACGGG